GGACGAUCCAUACAUGUCUUCCUCAUAACCAUUGGUUGCUUUGGAGUAGUUCUUCCAUUUGGUCCUCUCAUUCUCUAAUCCAGCCACUGGAUAGGCGCCGGCAUACUCCACAUGAGACCUCAGGCUUCCACGGCUACCCACUGACAUGCGCUCAUCUUCAUCCGAAGCCGAGGCAUUUCUUCGGGCUCUACGUGAAUAGCGCUCACUGUCUUCCAUCCAUUGCUCGAUGUCGCCCCAUUUAGUAUCCAGACCAUAAUAUUUCUUCUGAACUUGAUAGAUCUCUUUCUGCUGCCGUUCGAGUUCCUUCAUCCGGAUCUCCCGUGCCUCUGCCCGUGCUGCUCGCUUUGCCGCCAGCCUCGCUUCAGCCUCACGGGCGAUCUGGUUGAGCGCGUCGUCCUCCGCCGUCAGGCGUUCCCGGUUCGGCAGCCGCUUCCUGCCCGCUCCCUGCGUCCCCAUGGCGGAUGGAUGGGAUGCGGUCGAACCCGGCUCCGCGUUCCCCGCGCCUCACGGCUCCCGCCCGCCGCCUCACCCGCUCGCCGGCGCCGGCCCUGAGGAGCCCAACCG
rnacentral:lncRNA from 1 species